GAGGGUAUAGCUCAGUGGCUAGUGUGUGUGCUUAGCGUGCACGAGGUCCUGGGUUCAAUCCCCAGUAUCUCCA
rnacentral:tRNA from 1 species